GGCUUCAGAGAGAGUGCCUGUGGGGCACCAGGUAAUCCGAGACUGCAGCUCAGAGAUUACUCCAGCAAAGGGUCAGGUAUCCACACUGCCUCUGCUACAUGCCCCUUGGUCACUCACUCAUUGUUCUGAUGAUAAGAUCAACAGAUCACAAGAAGGGACAAGGCUCAUCCCAGGAGGAUCCAUGAUGCUUUAUGAAGACAGUCCCAACAGCCCAUCUCUGUCAUCCUCCAGACGUGCCAAGGCUGAAUCAUGGAGCAAACAGAGCACAGGCUCAAGCUGAGACCCUGCCAUGUGACCUCCUAGUUCUAUGAAAUACCCUUCAACAAUGCAGAAUUGACAAACCCUCCCAGAACCUGAUAUAGGUA